GUUGAGCACUGAAAAUGCCUGGAAUUGCCAAACUGAGCUUUUGUAUGAGCAGCGUAAGGGCUACUCGGUGCACGCAGAGCCGCGGGGCUGCACGGAAUAGCCGGACGGAAAGUAGCCUGGAUGUCUUGGCGUUAGUAGCCACGUCGCUUUGUUCGUGGACACUCCGAGGAGCAGAUCCCUGCCCUGUGGCACGGGGAGGAUCAGGCUCUAAUAAGGUGUUGGAAUGAUCGUCCUGUUGUUCCUUGAGUGGCUUUCCAGACAUGUGGAGAGAAGCAGACACUUCCAGAGCGGAGCUGGGAAGGAGGUGAAAUGGCUUUCCUUGCACAGAAAGGACCUGCGGAGCAGCCAGUGCCUGGAUAAGGCUCAUCCCAGUGCCUGGAUAAGGCUCAUCCCUGGAUAAGGAUCAUCCCAGUGCCUUAGGCUGCCACGGUCCCAAGCUGUCCUUGAGGCUGAGGUAGUAGAUUGAAUAGUUGUGGAGUCCGGUCCUCCCUCUGAGCUAACUAUACAAUCUACUGUCUUUCCUAAG